AUCCUGUUAGUUUAUUUGUAAAAAAUAUGGCUCUGAAGAAGCCAAGAAUGUUGGGGAUG
rnacentral:tRNA from 1 species